rnacentral:ncRNA from 1 species
AAAUCUUCUCUAAUACCCCCUACGGGAAAUUGUAGUGGAGAAUUUUUCGCAAUGGGCGAAAGCCUGAUGGAGCAAUGCUGUGUGAAGGUAGAAGGCCUAUGGGUCAUGAACUUUUUUCUAGAGAAGAAGCAAUGAUGAUAUUUGAAGAAUAAGCAUUGGUUAACUCUACUACUGCGAGGAUGCA